AAUAGAUACCCUGGUAGUCCACGCCGUAAACGAUGUCGACUUGGAGGUUGUGCCCUUGAGGCGUGGCUUCCGGAGCUAACGCGUUAAGUCGACCGCCUGGGGAGUACGGCCGCAAGGUUAAAACUCAAAUGAAUUGACGGGGGCCCGCACAAGCGGUGGAGCAUGUGGUUUAAUUCGAUGCAACGCGAAGAACCUUACCUACUCUUGACAUCCAGAGAACUUAGCAGAGAUGCUUUGGUGCCUUCGGGAACUCUGAGACAGGUGCUGCAUGGCUGUCGUCAGCUCGUGUUGUGAAAUGUUGGGUUAAGUCCCGCAACGAGCGCAACCCUUAUCCUUUGUUGCCAGCGGUUAGGCCGGGGAACUCAAAGGAGACUGGCCAGUGAUAAACUGGAGGAAGGUGGGGAUGACGUCAAGUCAUCAUGGCCCUUACGAGUAGGGCUACACACGUGCUACAAUGGCAUAUACAAAGAGAAGCGACCUCGCGAGAGCAAGCGGACCUCAUAAAGUAUGUCGUAGUCCGGAUUGGAGU
rnacentral:rRNA from 1 species